UACGGAGGGGGCUAGCGUUGUUCGGAAUUACUGGGCGUAAAGCGUGUGUAGGCUGCUACAUAAGUCGGAUGUGAAAGCCCCGGGCUCAACCCGGGAAGUGCACUCGAUACUGCGUAGCUUGAGUCUCGGAGAGGUUGGGUGGAAUUCUCGGUGUAGAGGUGAAAUUCGUAGAUAUCGAGAGGAACACCGGUGGCGAAGGCGGCCAACUGGACGAAGACUGACGCUGAGACACGAAAGCGUGGGGAGCAAACAGG
rnacentral:rRNA from 1 species